rnacentral:rRNA from 1 species
UACGGAGGGUGCAAGCGUUAUCCGGAUUUACUGGGCUUAAAGGGUGUGUAGGCGGGCUUUUAAGUCAGUGGUGAAAUCUCCGGGCUCAACCCGGAAACUGCCAUUGAUACUAUUAGUCUUGAAUUUUGUUGAGGUAGGCGGAAUAAGUCAUGUAGCGGUGAAAUGCAUAGAUAUGACUUAGAACACCAAUUGCGAAGGCAGCUUGCUAAACAAACAUUGACGCUGAGGCACGAAAGCGUGGGGAUCAAACAGG